AUGCAUAAGGGGAAGAUUGACGAGAUCGAUCAACAUUUCUCCAGUUUUCAAGGCUAUAAGUCCCCCCAGUACUGCACGGAGACGUGGUCCCAGGGGAGCGUGGACACGAGUCCAGCUGUGACGCCCAGCAGCAUCCAGUCUGAUGGUAUACAGGAGGAUGUGCUGAUCACGCCAAUCAUACAGAUUGUGCCAAUCGGGCCAAUCACGCAGCACGUCACCUGCCCCAAUGGACAACAGUCUGUUCAGACCAGCUGCACUCCUAUGCCUGAGGUCCACGGCCCGGCCCCCUACUGUGAGAAAGACACACCCCCUCCAGACCCUGGCCCCGCCCACCCGGAGCUCAUGUCUGUCCCAGGCAUGGACUACAGCAUGAUUCUAAACUCUGCUCCCUACUGUGAGGAAGACACGCCCCCUCCAGACCCUGGCCCCGUCCACCCGGAGCUCAUAAGCCCCGCCCCCUACUGUAAUGUAGCAUUGCAUCAGUGUCUCAGCAGUGGAUGCUCAGCAGUGAAUGGGUGCCGUCAGAAUGAGAGUCCAAACAGCUGAUAAAAACAUCACAAUAAUCCACAGCACUCCAGCCCAUCCAGUCCAGUAAGACUAAAGAUGAAACAAAUCCAGCAUUUAACUUCAAACGAUGGUCUGAGGACGAGCACAUUUUCAGCUUUUGGGUGAACUAUUCCUUUAAAAUGAUGUCAAACAAAAACAGAUUAAAUUUGAUUGAAGAUCACAAUGAUAUAAAUGUUAUAUUUUUGACUAACAUGCAUGAAGAAUUGUACAAAGGCCAUUUUUCACGGUUCACAUAAAAUGUUGCUCUAUAUUUUGAGAAAAAAGGUCGGGAAGUCAAUCUGGAUUAGUAAACACUUAUGAACAUUAUGAUAUUAAACACACAGGGCUUAUGACAAACCCACACAGCGGCCCAAUAUGUUCAACGAUUCGACGGAGCGAUCAAUGUAAUGAAAACACAAGCAAACGCUGCAGGCUGUUACCGAACCCAAGUUUAAUCUGCACACAGUUCAAUGUUAUAACCAAUCCCAACUGAGCAGGCGACCCAUGGACGAGGUGAAUGAAGCUCUGUGCUUGCAGUAGGUUAAAGAGAACAUGUUAGCAUAUCCUUAACACUUACAGCUGCAGCGAUGGAGACAGUGUGUAAACUAAUUAGGCUUAAUGUAUGUCACAGCACUGACACUAAACACACACACACACAGAGGGAUUACACACUAAUACUGCCAUGGCGUAAGCAUUGAGGAUAAGCUGCAUGUUCUAUAGCUUGAUGUUUUUCAUGGUAUAGAUGGUAAACUGUACAUAUAUAUAUAUAUAUACACACACACACAAAAAUUGACUGGGUUUGCAAUGGUAUCAAUUUUUCAGGUCGACUUGACCCACAAAGGCAGAGAUAGUGACAAUGAAAUAUACAUCAUGCAUCUGAAUAUAUAAAACCACACCCACAGAAUCGUGUUCCAAUUUAUAUGCAGUGUUUCAAAGGAAAUACCAUUUAACCACAGAGAGAGAGAGAGAGAGAGAGAGAGAGAGAGAGAGAGAUGAUUUUUAGCAUGUUCAGUGUGAAUCCGUGGGGUUUUCUCACCUGUUUUCUGGUCUAGUGGGUGAGAAUGGUGUAUCUGACCGUUAAGUAAAGUAGCAUCACACCUCUGAGUAUGAGGAGCAGAAGUAUUGAUGCUUGACUCAGAGAAUAAAUAUGAAAUGGCAGUGGGCGUGGCUCGGGUU
ensembl:lncRNA